rnacentral:rRNA from 1 species
GACGAACGCUGGCGGCGUGCCUAAUACAUGCAAGUAGGACGCAGUUGCGAACGGGUGAGUAACGCGUAGGUAACUACCUAUUAGAGGGGGAUAACUAUUGGAAACGAUAGCUAAUACCGCAUACUAGUAGAUGGACCUGCGUUGUAUUAGCUAGUAGGUAGGGUAAUGGCCUACCUAGGCAACGAUACAUAGCCGGCCUGGGGAGUGUGUCGGGCAACACGGGACUGGGGAAAGGGCCAGAAGCCUUCGGGGGGCAACAGUAGGGGAACUUUGGCAAUGGGGGGAAACCUGACCGAGCAACGCCGCGGGAGUGAAGAAGGUUUUCGGAUCGUAAAGCUCUGUUGUUAAGGAAGCGGUACUUAACCAGAAGGGGACGGCUAACUACGUGCCAGCAGCCGCGGUAAUUC